UCCUUCUCUUUUCCAGAAGUUUUAAGCACAGAUGAAGAUGUUUUACCUGGAUCCUCUGGGUUGGCCCAAGGCCAUGGCCAGAUGGCAGCAGAUUCAAACUCAGAAUACUCCUGUGUGUCUGCAGACAGUGUCAUUCCCUAUGGCAGAAAUGUACCAUUUCGGGAUUCCUGUCUUCUUUGGACGACGCUCUUAAAGGAUCUGAAUGGG
rnacentral:lncRNA from 1 species